rnacentral:lncRNA from 1 species
AGAGGCCAGGCCGUGGUGGCACAUGCCUUUGAUUCCAGCACAAUCAGGAGGUGGAGACAGGAUGAUCUCAGCCCGCUACAAUCUAAGGAUUCCGUAGAGCAGCCAUGAUACUUCUGUGGAGGAUAGCUGCUGUGUGUACUGGUGCCCAACAGAGGGAGCUGAGAAGCCCUAUAGAAGACCUUGUUCCUAGACCUGGCCUCAGGCCUGGCAGGAUCAUGCUGUUCUUUGAGGCCUGUUGUGGUAGCCUUAUAUCACAGGCCAGAGCCAAUAACUGUCUCUUCUGGAAAGAUGGGGAGGAGACUCCAGAGCUGUCUGGGGACUUUUCUUGAACCUGGAGCUCAUGGAUUCAGUUGGAUUGUCUGGCCAGUAAAUCCCAGGGAUGCACUUCUCCAGCACUGGGAUCUCAGGGGUCUUCCUGUCUCCACUUCCCCGGUGUUGGGAUCUCAGGGAUCCUCCUGUCUCCACUUCCCCUGCGCUAGGAUUAUUAGUGUGCACCAUCACACUGCUUUUCACUUGGGUACCCAAAG